UUUUGAGGGCCGCACCCAUUGGCGUAUGUAUGGCAGUUCCCAGGCUAGAGGUCUAAUCGGAGCUACAGCUGCCGGCUGCCACCACAGCCACAGCAAUGCAGGAUCCUUAACCCACUGAGUGAGGCCAGGGAUCGAACCCACAACCUCAUGGUUCCUAGUCGGAUUCGUUCACCACUGAGCCACCACGGGAACACAGUGUAUAGUAUUUUUAAAAGGGGGUUGCCCACUUUGGAGGGGAGAAGCCUUGUGUGGGUUUGUGUGAUGGCAGCUGACGUGUUUGCCUUUGCAGGCCAUUCCUGAUCCUUCCCUGUGGCCCCCACUGCUCUGCAGGAGGAGGCCUAGAUCCCGCCCAGAACAAGGACCAGCGCUGUGCAAAUGUCUACUUUCAAACUCUCCCUGGUCCACCAGGCUGGGCUGUCACCGGAGAGGGGGAAGGGCCUGCGGCAGGACGGAGCCCCGCGUGUCUGUCCCACGAGCCAGGAGGGGAGGGGGGCAGGGAGCGCGAGGUGGAGGGGGCUGGGGGCAGCAGAGCUACACUGAGGACGCCAGCCAGAAAGUUCCCUCCCAGAGGCCCCGCCUGCAGCCAGAUCUGAAACCCAGGUGGGGGCGGGUGAGGCGGUGCCCUGGGCCCCUCCAGAGAUUUCUGGGGAGCAGAGAGGAAAGGGGCUCAGCCCCUGCUUCCUGCCUCUGGUGCUGGGAGGCGGUGCCCUCCGGGCGUCCUGCGUCACAGAUGGGUGGCUGGUUCAGAGGGUCAACAGGUCUGCAGGGGAGAGAGGUCCCACCCUGGUGUCCUGGGGACCCCCGCCACCCCACCUCUGUGGAGAACACAAAGCACUGGCUGGGAGGCCAGGUUGGGGGGCCCGUGCCACCCCAGGAGGGGCUCCAGGAGCCCCCAGCAGCCAAGCACACUGCACAGACCCACAGGGUGACCCACAGACCUGGGGCUGUGACAACCAGAGGACAGACACCAAGGCAGCAGUAGGACCGAGCAAAGAGCAGGUGGACCAAAGAGCAGGCAGUAGAGGGUGGCUGGGCAGCGGACAAAAGUAUGUUCGUGACCCCAUCCCUCCGACCCCCCACCACCCAGGCUGGGCUGUGCCGAACGGGUUCCGUCCAGUUCCAUGGAGAGACGGGAAGGUGCUUUCUUCAUGGGGCAAAAGUUAGGACCAAAAUUCCAAACUCGUUGCAUAAAUGUUGCUGACAUAUUUCCUACCAUGACCACGAGCUGCUUUUACCAACAGAGGGGAAAAAAAGAAAAGCCGUUUCGAAAAAUGGGGUCGAAAAGAAGCCCGUGUGAAAAGGCUACACACUGCAUGACUCCAAGGUGACCUUCCAGCUGCGUCAUCCUGAUGACGUCACAUCUCCACAAACCUUUGCCUUGAGCAUCAGCUCGGAGUCGGACCACCCCCUGCUGGCCAGCUCGGAGCCACCAGCAUCCUUCGCCUGGACCACAGCAUCACCUCCCAGCACAGUCCACACAGUUCGCUCUCCGCACGGCAGCCUGACCCACCCUCCAGAGCCUGACGUCACUGCUCCAUGCAAACCUUCCGAUGGUUUCCAGUCUCUCUCAGGGCAAAAGCCUCACACGGCGCCUCUGACCCAUUUAACCCCCUCCGUCUCUCAGCCCAGCCAAUCCUCCCCAGCACACCCUCCAGGAAAUAAGCCUCUGGGCCACCGUAUGAGGCUGUUCCCUCUGCCUGAAUGCUUUUCCCCACAUAUUCACAUGCUCCACUCCCUUCCUUCAAGUAUUCCCUCAAAGGCAACCUUCCAGAGGAGACCCCCCUGCAACAUGCCUCCCUCACCCCCUCCUUCCUUGCUGUGUCCCCCCAGCCGAUGGCUUCUAGCCCCUCCCACCAUAUUAGCACCCUGUAGCAUAUGAACCUGUGUGGCUUUUACUGCUCCCUCCCCGACUAGGACAUAAGCUCCAGGAUUUGUCACUUCUGUCUGCUGAUGCUUCCCUGAGCUCCUGGCACUGUGCCUGGCACAUGAGAGGCACUCCAGAAACAUCUUCAGAAUGAACUCUCAAAGCCCCAAGGGGUGGGUGGAGGGGACUGUACCUUCACGUUGAUCUUUGGGGAAACCAGGGCGGAUAUUUCCCUCUGCAGCCGGAACCGCAAGCCCGAGCAGGUGCCGGUGCCUCCAGACAAGAAGAUGUGGCCGAAGAGGACCUUCCAGAGGGCGGGGCUGCAGGAGCUGAUGCACUGGAAGGCCGUCAUGUGGGUGCCGAGGCGGUUCCUCCCUGCCGGGAUGGGAGGGGCAAGGAGGAGCUGGGGGGACCCCGGGCUCCACCCCUGGGCGCCCCCUUCCCUGCAGGCGCCAGGGAGGGGGCCCUGCAUCUCAGGCAGCUCCAAGCACAGUUGGCAAACGGUAGCAUCCCCCACCGCCAGGCCCUUGUGGGUUUGCCAAGGUGAAGCCUGUGACCUGCCCAGCCCGUGGUGGGCUCACUGCUGCGGAGUGAAUACACUAAUGUGAGUUCUCCCUCACCUGAUAGAAACUGUAUCCAAGAGUUGCUGAUAGUUUUCAUUUUGCUUUUUUAGGGCCACACCCACGGCACGGGGAAGUCUGGGGGGUCAAACUGGAGCUAUGGAAUCGGCCUGCGCCACAGCCACAGCAAUAUGGGAUCUGAGCCGUGUCUGCGACCUACACCACAGCUCAUGGCAAUACUGGAUCCUUAACCUACCAAGCGAGGCCAGGGAUCGAACCCCCAACCUCUUGGUUCCUAGUUGGAUUUGUUUCUGCGGCCAUGACGGGAACUCCCCAGUCAUUCAUUUUUCAUGCCUUGGCAUCUCCUGGACACGGUGUCCUUGCUCAAGCAGCCUUUGAAGAAUCACACAGAUUCUGCCUCUCCUGAUGCAUCACUUGCUCACGUGAACUUGAUACCGUGGGAGCAGCCCUGCAGGGUGUGUGUGCGGUGGUCCUGUCUGCUCGAGAUUCUGAGCUUCUGGGAGGGGUGGCUGGUGCCUGCUGGGGUCUCCCCAUCCGUGACGGGACGGACGGCCUAGCCUUGGAAUGAGGACUGAAAGGGCUAAUUUACAGAGCCCUUUAGAUGCGCCUGGCCCAGCAACUGCUCUGCUAACACCAUGGCUAAGGUUGUGCCCGCCCCACUGCCACCUGCCCAGACCCAGAAGAGAACUUCCAUUUUGUGGGUGAACUUCACCCAGUGACUUCCUCGCUUAUCCACUCAACAUCUGGGGGCUUGGGCUAUGUUUUAAACCUUCACCCCUGCACAGUCUAAGGGAGAGCCCGGAGCCAGUUCACCUGUACUAGGUGUGAAUGCCAUGUCCUCAUUAGAGCUAGUCCUGGGGAAAUGGCUACUUCUCUUUUAUUUCCCUCUGCCCUUACUAAUGUAAGCAAUUAUUUAAAUUUUUUGAUUCCAGGCAAUAGUUGGUUUUCUUUGACUACCUGGCCGACUUCAUUUUUCUAACCCAUGGAAAUUUUAUAAUCCAUCAUUUUUUCUUGUUCGGCCCUGCCUGCCAGAGAGCUUAGGGUCAACCCUCAUUUAAAAUCUCUAGAUCAGAAUAGACUUGUGGUGGCCAAGGGCGAGGGAGUGGGGGGGAGAAUUGAGAAUUUGGGGUUAGCAGAUGCGAACUAUUAUAUAUGGACUGAAUAGACAAUACGGUCUUACUGUGUGGCAUAGGGAACAAUAUACACUAUCCCAUGAUUAAACCUUAAUGGAAAAGAAUAUAAAAGAGAAUAUGUGUAUGUGUCACUGAGUCACGUUGCUGUACACCAGAAACUAACACAACAUUAUAAAUCAACUAUGCUUCGAUACAGUAAAUUUAAAAUAAAUACAUAGGAGUUCCCAUCGUGGCCCAGCGGGUUAAGAACCUGACUAGGCUCUAUGAGGAUGCGGGUUUGAUCCCUGGCCCUCACUCAGUGGGUUAAGGAUUUGGGGUUGCUUGGCUUGGGGGUAGGCUGGCAGCUAUAGUUCCAAUUUGAUCCCUAGCCCGAGAACUCCAAAUGCCAUGAGUUUUGCCCUAAAAAGCAGGAAAACAAGCAAACAAACAAACAAACAAACAAACAGAAUGCCCUCCCGGCUCCCCACCCCCUUCCUCCUUGCAUGUGCCCACCUGUCUGUGUCUGGGCUCAUCUCUGACCCCUUCCUGCGGGCUCACCUAUGAGGUUUGGCUGGAAAAGCGCUUCGGGGCAGAAGAACCUCUCACGCCCAAGGUCGAUCUCCUGGCCAUCAGGCAGCUGACAUUUCUGUGCGUAGGAGGGUGAGUUGGCUUCCAUUUUUUCCUUUUCAAAGUCCAAAGCCACGUAGCAAUACUUCUCUUUCAGGUCCCGGACACGGUCUCGGUCAGCUGAGCAGGAAAGCAAAAGGGCCACCUGGGAAAGACUCCGACUGUGAGUUGAGAUCACAGAAGGAUUGUCCCCCAGGGAGUGUCUUUCUGAAGAUUCAGCUCCUGGUGGUGGGAAUGAGAUGGCACCUCUGUAGCUGCGAUUUCUCUUUUCACUUCCCAUUCCAGGCGCUGUUGAUCUGUAACGUGUGCUGGGGGCCUGGUCAGUGGAUGAGAAGGGGGGUGUGGGAAUGUCCUGGGCUAGAGGCAUGUGUUUGAGAAGUGUCUGCAUUUAAUAUGCUGUGUGUCCGGGGGGUGCUGGGAAACCAAAUUCAAUUCUGUUAUCUAUUCAUAUAGGAGGUGACGUGGGCACCCCCAUCCCCACCCGCUAUGAGUGGUGCCUACAAACAGCUCACAGCUGCCCCCUUCUCUAGAGAAUUGCCCAAGUCCAUUGGUGCCCCUCCCUGGAAACUUCGGAAAGAUUACACUCCACUUUCUGGGUGGUGGACAUCAGUCCCAGCCAUCUCCUGCUGUUAUAUUUUUAUGUUCCCCCCAUCACUGCUUUUUUUUUUUUUUUUGUCUUUUUUUGUCUUUUCUAGGGCCACUCCUGCGGCAUAUGGAGAUUCCCAGGCUAGGGGUCUAAUCGGAGUUGUAGCCACUGGCCUACGCCCCAGCCAAAGCAAUGCCAGAUCUGAGCCACGUCUGCAACCUACACCACAGCUCAUGGCAAUGCCAGAUCCUUAACCCACUGAGCAAGGCCAGGGAUCGAACUCUCAACCUCAUGGUUCCUAGUCGGAUUCGCCAACCACUGAGCCACGCCGGGAACUCCAACCCAUCACUGCUUUUGAGUUUGGGUUGCAGGAACGUCCAACACUGGCAGUUCUGGAAAUCCCACGGGUUCUUCAGCCCACAGACACUACCUUCUCCCACUUCACCUAAACCAGUCUUGCCCGGGCGUGUUCUGUCCUCCUUGUGUCAAAGCGCUGCCAAGCUCUCUCGCUUUCUCUUGCCUUCUUUCCCCCGGGGACCCGACACUCUUGGCCACACCCUUUUCUUCCCUUGGCCCCCUGGGUGCUGUGCACUCCUGAUAUUUUCCCCUUCUUUGCCUAGUUUGGGCUUUGGUGAGACAAGUCUAGGUUCAAAUUUCACCUCUUCCACUUACCAAGCACCAAGUUCACUAUCCUCUUAAACCUCCUCUCUCCUCAUCUUCAAGAACGGGACAAAUCACAGGAUGGUUGUAAGCAUGAGGGGAAAUAAUGCACGGGUGACCUUGCUACGUGUGACGUGUCAAUGAAAUGUAUGAGUCUGGCCCCGCCGGUCCUUGUCACUGUCCCUUGCUUCCCCCUAAUUGCCAUCAUUCCACAUGUCAAAAUUCCAUAGUUUGUGUGGUUUGGGCACAGACCAUUGGCCUGAGAAGACCGGAAAGUACAAUGCAGGUUAUAGGCUUGCUGGGAAUGGGGUCCUGCAGGUUCUCCAGGCUGGGACUUUAGCCCAGGAAGUGGGUGAAAAUUGGGACAGGUACUUUCUUGUCUGAAGUCCUUGGAGUCACAUCCCAGCUGCUCUGCCUAUGAGUCAUGGGAUGUUGAAAUCACCCAAUC
ensembl:lncRNA